rnacentral:rRNA from 1 species
GAUGAACGCUGACAGAAUGCUUAACACAUCAGCAAUUGAUUGGUGGCGGACGGGUGAGUAACGCGUAAAGAACUUACUCACCGGUUGGGGAAAACUUUUGGAAAGGAAUGCUAUUACCUAAUACUGUGAGAGAGCUUUGCUUCCCAUUGGCUAGUUGGAGAGGUAACGGCUCACCAAGGCGAUGAUGGGUAGCCGGCCUGAGAGGGUGAUCGGCCAAAAGGGGACUGAGACACGGCCCUUACUCCUACGGGAGGCAGCAGUGGGGAAUAUUGGACAAUGGACCAAAGUCUGAUCCAGCAAUUCUGUGUGCACGAUGAAGUUUUCGGAAUGUAAAGUGCUUUCAGUUGGGAAGCGGUACCAACAGAAGAAGUGACGGCUAAAUACGUGCCAGCAGCCGCGGUAAUAC